CACGUAGGGGGCAAGCGUUGUCCGGAUUUAUUGAGCGUAAAGAGCUCGUAGGCGGCUCAGUAAGUCAGGUGUGAAACCUCCAGGCUCAACCUGGAGACGCCACCUGAUACUGCUGUGGCUAGAGUCCGGUAGGGGAGCGUGGAAUUCCUGGUGUAGCGGUGAAAUGCGCAGAUAUCAGGAGGAACACCAGCGGCGAAGGCGGCGCUCUGGGCCGGAACUGACGCUGAGGAGCGAAAGCGUGGGUAGCAAACAGG
rnacentral:rRNA from 1 species